CUAAUAUGCACGCUGGCCACGGUUGCUAGGAGACGCUCUUGGACUCGCCAGAGGCUGAGGUGCGCGGGACGACCCGGCCAAGUCCAGGGCUCCAGACUGGCGGCUGUGAGAGUGACAGGACGGAGGAAAAGCCAGGAGGAAAAUCCCCACUGUUUCCUGCUGCCCCUCAGAGCUGAGAGCCAGUCCCAAACAAAGCCAGCUUCCCUGUCAGAGCUGUUUCCUCUCUUCUACCUCUCAGUGAGCUGCACCUACUCUCUCCUUGCAGAAGCUCGAGGCAACAGCAAUGCUGGCGAUGAGGUGAGGGGCCGAGUGCGCCUUCGUGGGCUUUGGGCCUCAGCACUGCAGGGCCCUUAGUGACCACCAGGUCCAGCUCCAUCCCUGCCGGCCUCCCGUCCUCAAUCCUCGCCCCAAGAAUGGUUACCAGCCGCUGUCGAACACCCCAGAACUGCCUCCUAGGGGUUUCAAGUCACGUGGGAGGGUCCCCUGAAUGGUGGGCUGUUGGUGUUCCUCCCGAAUCCUGUGGACUGGAGAAAUAGAAGUGUCCAGUGAGCCAGCGGCAUCCACUCCAUGGCUGCCAGUGUGGGGCAGCAGUGAUGGCAUUCCAGAAGGACUCCGUUUUCUCACCCUUGUGUAUGCGGAGA